rnacentral:tRNA from 1 species
GAUAAGGUGGCUGAAGUUUAGGCUAUAAAUUGUAAAUUUAUAAAUGGUAGGAUUACCUCUUAUCA